rnacentral:rRNA from 1 species
CUUCACUAUAGCUUUGCAUUGAUUUUGAGCAACCGAUGUGUAGGAUAGUUGGGAGACUAUGAAGCGGCUUCGCCAGGAGUCGUGGAGUCAACGUUGAAAUACCAACCUUCUGUUGCUUAGAACCUAAUUCCUGAUGGAAGACAGUGCAUGGUGGGUAGUUUGACUGGGGUGGUCGCCUCCUAAAAAGUAACGGAGGCUUGCAAAGGUUCCCUCAGUACGGUUGGUAAUCGUACAUAGAGCGUAUUAGUAUAAGGGAGCUUGACUGUGAGACAUACAGGUCGAGCAGGGUCGAAAGACGGCUAAAGUGAUCCGGUGGUUCUGCAUGGAAGGGCCAUCGCUCAAAGGAUAAAAGGUA